CUGCUCAGGUCUCUCCUCAUUCUUCGAAUUAUUCUUUCGCCUUUUACUAAAGAAUACCGUGGGGAGGGACACUCAAAUGAGCCAUAGGCGAAUUUUUGGAAGGCCCUGCCCGUUUGGGCAG
rnacentral:snRNA from 1 species